AAAAAUACUAAAUUUUGUUAUCUAGGGAUAAAUUGGUUUUAUUAUAGUUUAUAGUACUGUGAGGGAUUUUCUUAAAGUUAUUAGAAGAAGGCUUAGACCGUACCUUGUGUAUCAGGGCUUACUGAAUAGGGGCUAGUUAGUUGGCUUUCCCGAUCUUAAAAGAGUUACACUUGUAUUUAUUUUACUGUAGAAAAAUUAUUUAUAAUUUAAGUGUUGUAGUGAAAUGUUAGUCGUUUUUGAGGGUAUCUGGUUUCUUUAGAAAUGAAUUUAAUUCAGGCCUUUAUUAUUGUGUUUAUAAUUUUUUAUUGUACGAUGUGGUGGGCUAGUUCUCAGAGGGAUAAGCUUCUGGGAAAAUUGUUAUAAGCAGAGGGGCACGGAGUUUGUGUAGGAUUAGAACUUUCUAUCAUUUAAAUUAUGUUAAAAUUAGAACUUCUUUUGUCUGAUUUUUUCUGUUUUUUGGUUUUUAUAGGGAUUUUAUUUAUAAUGUUGACUAUUAAGGAAUUAUGGUGAGAUUAGUAUACUGUUGAAUGUAUUGGUAUAUACAUUUUGUUAGGUUGGGCAAAGGAAUUCGGCAACUAGUGUUUUCACCUGUUUAAUAAAAACAUGUCUUUUUGAUUAUUAUAAAAGGUCGGGCCUGCCCAAUGAUUUUUAAAUGGCCGCAGUAUUUUGACUGUGCAAAGGUAGCAUAAUCAUUAGUUUCUUGAUUGGAAGCUGGAAUGAAAGGUUUGAUGAGGGACAGACUGUCUCUGCCUUAUUAUUGUAGAAGUUUAUUUUUUAGUAAGAAAGCUUAGAUUUUGUAAAAAGACGAGAAGACCCUAUAGAGUUUUAUGCUUUACUUUUCUAGUGUUUGUAAGUUUUACGUGAUACUGGGUUUGAAAUUAUUUUGUUGGGGUGACAUUAAAAUUUAAUUAACUUUUAAUUAUUGGCACGUGAAUAAGCGGGUGGUUGAUCCUUUGUUUGAGAUUAUAAGACUAAAUUACCUUAGGGAUAACAGCGUGAUUUUCCUUAGGAGUUCUUAUUUAUAGGGGAGUUUGCGACCUCGAUGUUGGAUUAAAAUUAAGUUCCGGUGCAGUUGCUGGGAAGUUAGGUCUGUUCGACCUUUAAAAUUUUACAUGAUCUGAGUUUAGACCGGCGUGAGCCAGGUUGGUUUCUAUCUUUUAUUUUGUUUGUUAUUCUAGUACGAAAGGACCGGGUAGUAUAAUUUAAUUAUUAUU
rnacentral:rRNA from 1 species